AUAGUGUAGCAUAGCAUCUGUUCUUAUCAGUUUAAUAUCUGAUACAACCUCUAUGAAAGGACAAUAGAUGAAAUGGAUUUUUGGAGCCGGGAGUAGCAAUAGGAGCCUGCUCUGUCCCCUCCACAUAUUGACCUACUGUUGCAGCACCUCCAGGAUUGGCACACCCCCU
ensembl:snRNA U2 U2 spliceosomal RNA